UCCCUACGGGGGGCAGCAGUGGGGAAUAUUGCACAAUGGGGGAAACCCUGAUGCAGCGACGCCGCGUGAGUGAAGAAGUAUUUCGGUAUGUAAAGCUCUAUCAGCGGGGAAGAAGGAAGACGGUACCCGACUAAGAAGCCCCGGCUAACUACGUGCCAGCAGCCGCGGUAAUACGUAGGGGGCGAGCGUUAUCCGGAUUUACUGGGUGUAAAGGGAGCGUAGACGGCGUCGCAAGUCUGAAGUGAAAGCCCGUGGCUCAACCGCGGAACCGCUUUGGAAACUGUGAGGCUGGAGUGCUGGAGAGG
rnacentral:rRNA from 1 species